rnacentral:rRNA from 1 species
UACGAAGGGGGCUAGCGUUGUUCGGAAUUACUGGGCGUAAAGCGCGCGCAGGCGGUUUUUCAAGUCAGUGGUGAAAGCCCGGAGCUCAACUCCGGAAAUGCCAUUGAAACUGUUAAAACUUGAGGAUGAGAGAGGUGAGUGGAAUUCCCAGUGUAGAGGUGAAAUUCGUAGAUAUUGGGAGGAACACCAGUGGCGAAGGCGGCGAUCUGGGAAGAUACUGACGCUGAGGUGCGAAAGCGUGGGGGAGCAAACAGG